AUAUAUAUAUAUGUAUAUAUACACAUAAGUGUCACUAGACGGGUUGCUAUCCUGAAUUAUCUUUAGUUUAUUAUGAUAUAUGUUUAUAAAUGAGGUUAUUUUAUGUUCAUUGCAGUGAGUUAGUUUGUCUUCCUUGCUUGUUUUUCUGCACUCUCUUCUGUCUACUUCUUACAUAUGUCUAACUCUUAUCCCCUCUUUGUCAUCUCUUUAUAUCACCAUGCAAUUUUUUGUAAGUUUGAAAUCAAAAUUUUGUUUUACUUGUAAUUUUUCUCUGUAUUCAACCUUUUAGAAUUAACAAACUGAUGACCCUUGUCUGGUUUAAAUUUUAGUAAGUUUCUUAAGUUCUAUUACUCUUUGUCAUCUGUUUAUAUCUUUAUGCAAUUUUUUGUAUGUAGUUUGAAAUCAAAAUUUUGUUUUAUUUCAUUAGGCUUUUUUCUCACAACUUUGAUUCAUUCUCUAUAUUCAACAUCUUCUUUUUCUCCUUUUCUCGUUUCAAUUAGAGCACUGCCUCCUUCACUUGGCACUAACAUGCUCAUCUACAUCGGUUAGAAUUAACAAACUGAUGAUCCGGUUGGUCCAAAUUUUAGUAGGGUUUCUUAAGUUCUGGUACUCUAAUGAAAUUAACACAUCCUGUAUUUAUGCAUGCUUUGUCAACAUCUUGUGUAUCUUUUGGUUCAACAUCAGCCCAACUUCCAUAGAUUUCUUUCCUUAUAUUUUCAGUUUAAUAUUAGAGACACCAGUAUCCUUAUCAUCAUACUUCUCAAUUCCAAGAUUGACAUCUCAUUUGUUUAUGCUUACAAUUAGAGCAUGUUCGUUUGGGGGAAGGGUUGUCUCUAGAAGACAAACUUUCUCCAUUACUUUAGCAUGGAACUGUUUAGUACAUCCUACACAUGAGUUCUUCCUCCAAAAUGGUAACAAUUUUCGACGGACAUCCUACACAUGAGUUCUUCCUCCAAAAUGGUAACAAUUUUCGACGGGGUACGCAAUCCCUACCUUUUUUCCUUGUCGCUCAACCUUUCUUCCCUGCUAUGUGAGAAUUAAAACCAGGUACCCCAAUCUUUCUUCCUCGCUAGGUGAGAGAUAAAACCAGGUACCCCAACCUUUCUUCCUCGCCAGGUGAGAGCUAAAACCAGCAGGGACAGAGGUGUUUACAUUUAUGGUUGAAUGGAGUUGCAGAAAGAGGAGAUGAUCUUCUUUUGUGAGGUGAAGAGGUGGUGAAAGAGAGAAAGAAUGAUGCAUUUAGUGGCCCACAUAGGUUGGCCUCAGUAGCAGUACGAAGAAGGCUGUUGCGUGGUUGCCGGAUAACCCAUUCUUCCCCUCUCAUUUAUCUCUAUUAUGUAGUUUUUUUCUCCCUCUUUCCCUUCUUUUUCUCUAUCCUUUUUAAGUGCUAUGAAUGCGGAAGGAUGGGAAUGUGGGUCGAUGGUUUUAUUCAUCGCUCUACUCGUCAUGUUGUCAUAGCUGAUGGUGGCUUUGUUGUCUUCUUCUGAUCUGUCAUGGAAGGCAAUUACUAGGCGUUGAGAACAUUGCCCUGAAUCUGUUGGUACUGUGGGUUUAGAAGGCAUUUUCUUGUGUUUAUUCCUUUGUUCUUGUUGGCUGUUUU